rnacentral:vault_RNA from 1 species
GGGCCAGCUUAGCCCUAGCGGUUACUUCGGAUAAUCUUUGCAGAUUCACCAUUGCCUAACGGCGGUUUCGAUACUCCGCGGGUUUGCUGUCUGGCUUUUUA